rnacentral:lncRNA from 1 species
CAAAGUUCAGCCACACACUCAUUCCUGUAACUCCUAGUCGGGGUAACGUAGGUUCUUUGCCUAGCAGGUAUCAUGGUGCACAUCUGGAAUCCCAGAAUUCAGGAGGCAGAGGAAAGAGGAUUGCUAGCUCAAGGCCAGCCUGGGCUACAGCGAGACGCCUCCUAAAACAAAAACAAGCCAGGUGGUGGAGAGCACAGUGCAGAUGGUGAGUGAAUCUGACUGCUUCUGCCUUCAGAAUGCAUCCACAGCCCUCGAGGGUCACCAUCGCCAUGUGAUCAGGCCUGCAUCCCAUCUCAGCUGGAUCUGACAGUGGCUCGGAACCAUCCCCGCCUUGCUCAGCUUCCCCUCAUCCUCAGUAGCCAGAGAUUUUGCUCAACUGUACUCCAGACCAUGCCAUGCUUAGCUCAGAUAGAGACCCUCAUCUCCUCCAGGAAAAAAAAAGCCAGCACAUGGCUGUUCAUGAAACCCUACCUAACCAACCCCUAUUGCUCCUCUGACCUCCCCAUCCUACUCCUUGGUUCGUUGUCCAGCUUGCCCCUUGAACCUUCUUGUUUCUUGGGUGUUCCAGGUGAGAGACCGUGAUGAACACCUGUACCAGUUGUCCCCUUUGCCUGGACAAUUCACCCAGACAUCUACAAGUGGGGCUCCUUUGUCCUGUCAUUUGUCCUUGAGCAGGGACUUCUCUG